UUUCGAUCGGCAUUCGGGGUAAUGAGUGUCUAUCGGGACGUCGCGACGGUUGUCACGGGCUCGAUGGGAGUUUCGGAUCGUGACACUGGGAGCGUGCAUGCUUUUAUAACAUUUCUGGUACUUUGAUAAAAAGUGAUGAUUUCUAUGAUUGAACUUUGUUUUGCUACACAUGAUUUCGGCAUCGUUUUGCCAAGUGAAAUAUUGCACAAUGAUUUUACGGUAUCAUGUUUGCAAGGCACAAACCCCUUAUUUGUGAUUUGAUUUUUAUUCUGAGGGAUUGACCUAACGUGUAAUCAUCGACGUGUAUGGUCCACCGCAAAUAGGUAAAGGCAUCUCAUAGCAUUUUAUCUUAAGUCGCUCCGUUGUUAGAGAUCAAGUCGUAGCACUUUAUUUAAUAAGUUGUAAAUGGAUAUUGAUUUUGUUAUAAGUAAAUAAUUGAAGAAUGUGAAUUUCGUUGUAUAUACUUGUGAUUAAAUGGUUUAAAGCUUGAAUCGAU